UGGUGGGCUAGGCCGGGGGGCUCGGCGUCCCCUGUAACCCGAAACCGUCGAUAUGCGGGGGCCGAAGCCGAUGGAAGGUCCGCAUGUCCGUAGAAGCUAAGCAACGAGUCUCGUAGAGUCCUCGUCCUGAAGGACCGGCGGUUACCUCGAAUCCUUCGGAGGAAGGGUUCGUGGUAUUUGCCGAGGGCACCGGCUGAGGCCCGGAAGGGAGCAAGCCUACCUCGGACGUCCGGUGCUUUCAGGGGAACGGGGAGGAGGGAUUCGUUGCUUGGCCUUUGCGGAAACAGCGGAUCGACCUGAGGCGCGCCCACCA
rnacentral:SRP_RNA from 2 species